rnacentral:lncRNA from 1 species
UCAGCCCAUUAUGUUAUUUUGUUGUGCAUGAAUGAUGCAGUGAGGCCUGAAUCCUCCUGUCCCAUCCAUUACGUGGUUUUCUCUGAACAGAAAUGUAGAAACUGCAGGACCCCAAAUUUACGGUAUUGAUUAAUGUAUGGCAGAUAUCUUCCAGUGUGUGAUUGAUUAAAUCAGAGCAUAUACUUUCCACUGCUAUCUUAAUGAAAAAAUGGUCUGCUUGAUUUCACUUCAAUGGUUUACUAGCAUCGGACUGUAGGGAAAUCUUUUUGUGCACUUUAGUGUAUUAGGUUACAUGGUGAAUUUUACCAUUAGGCCAAAGAUCAUUAGAAUAUGUGGCUUUUUAUAUACAAAGCUGCAUUAGGGGUGUUUGUCAGGGUUUCAGUAGCAGGGCGGGCUGCAGGGUGGCCUUUGUGAGAGAAGGCCGGAGGCUGCCCCGUGCUGGACACAACCAGAUCCAGCUGGUUCCAAUCAGAUCCAGCCGGUUCCAGCUGGUUCCAGUCAGAUCCAGUCAGUUCUAGCAGGUUUCAGCCAGAUCCAGUCACUUCUAGCUGGAUCCAGCUGGUCCUAGCAGGUUCCAGCCAGUUCUAAUCACCUCCACAGCGGCCCCACUGCUAUUUUCAGCAGAUACUUUAUGUGUCAAUACAUUUAAGUGAGAGGCUUUGUUCUUCACACAUCAUCUACAUGGAUGUACAGACCCUAGUUUUGGUGGUUAUUUUUCAGCUUUUUAGGUGGAUGGUUUCCUAGCCUUGCAAAGGAUGUGGAAAUGUCUGAAAAAGGCUAACUGGUUUCAGAAAAGAUUUUGCAGGGCAUACUCUUUCAGCCUAAGAUUACAGAUACAGUGCAAGAAGAAAUGUCUGGCAGAGAGACAGAACUGAUAAAAGGUAGUUAUUUAGCUUGUACACAGAAUUAAACACUUCACUGCCUGUUAAGGUGUGAAAGCUGCUCCAGUGGCCUCUUGCAGGAUGAAGGUACUCACCCUGCCAGAGGCAUCUGUGGUAUGACAGAAGGGCAUCCCUCUCACCCUCUGGGGAGGAGGUGAAGCUCUGGUGGCAGUGACUGAUGAGAUAGCCCAGAGCAGUACAUAACAGCUGGGCACAUACUGGCAUAGCAAUGGG